CCUCCUCUUCUUGGCGGGGGUCGGGUAUGCUGUCCUGGUCCUCGUAAUGUAACAAGGCAGAGGGAAAGGGCUCCGGCCCCCUCGGCCUUAUGUCUUCUGUGCCAAUGGUUUCUAGUCCACCGGUUCUAUCCUCAAACACCGGGACACUG